AUGGACAGCAGGCACCUCCCUAACCUCCCCAGAUGUAUUACUCAUUUCUGAAGUAUUGAAGUUAGAGGUAACUCAAGCAGGAUUCUGGUUAUGAAUGUAGAUGUUGAAACUAAUCAAAAACACUGGAAGUCAGUCUUUACAUUUCUAGUCUUCAGUAGAAUGCACAUGUUUGAAGUUCAUGUGGACCAUUUCAAGAAGCACUCAUUGACAUUGGGUUGUCUAGAAUGAAUACAAGUAUUUUUAGUGGAAGUUGCUUUUAUUUUAGCGUCCACGGCUAUUCUAUGUUACUAGUUGCAGCUGUUAAAGAUAAGGUUGUUGGUGUCAGGUGUGCAAUGAAGAACAGGAAUCUUGGUUUCCUCUCCAGUGUCCAAACGCCUAUUGAGGGAACAUUUUCUUGCAAAAGACUUUACAUUUCGUUUUUUAUCCUCGCACUUUUUCUUUAUUACAGAAAGGUCCUGUGUUUAAGACCUACUUUGAACUUCAUGCAGUAAUAAUGUUGGGGGAUUGCAUUUUUUAAAGCAUAGGGGAAAGUACUAAAGCCUGAUUUUCCUUGAAUAUUUCAAAAUUUUUUAAUCCGCUUACUAGUGUAAAGGUUUGCAGUAUUGUUUUAUUCCACACAGCUUACAAUGUUGAGAUUUAUUAGUGCUGAAAACAAAGUUUAACAAGUUAAAAAUGGCAGGCUGUUUGCAGUAACCCUGCAGAAAAGAGCUAUGGUGGGAAUUUGGAACAUUUUCUCUGAAAAGAACAUGUUAGUUACACCACCAUGUCCUCCAUGUUAAUGGAAGUGGCUUUGGUGUUAUUGGAACAGUUAAUUGUCAGAUUGUUAACAAAAUGUUAGUGCCAGGAGAUGCUCAGUCUUUAGGGACACAGUUAGAAUCCAUCCAAGCUAGGAAACUGGUUUGCUCUGUUACCUUAAGCAAUAUUUUGGUUUUUUCUUUUUUCUUUCGUCCUGGGAAAACUUUCUGUGCCAAGUAGUCUCUGCUUUUGUCGAUGUCUUAUAGUUAUGAAGGGUUAGCAUUUAGCACACUUUGUAUUUAACCACCUGCUUCUAUGACUGAGUCUCCAAAUAUCCAUGUGAUAAGGAGGUCUAUGUUGCAAAAUGACUGUUAAAGGCCAUUCUGACAGUUUACUAGAAUACAGUGGCACCUUCUGGUUGACUUUUUUUUUUAACAGAUGGAGGAUAAUUCUUUUGUGAAAGGAAAUUAAUUUGUAAUCUGCCUUAGCUGAUUUGAAUUAAUGUUUUUUUCUGACUGGCUUCCGUGUCACAUGUCUUACCAAAAAUAUGCAGUACCUGGAAGCCAUGUUUGCAGGGCACUUGGGUUCUUGGCUAAUCUUCUAAGACUAUUCUGAUUUUUCAGUCUCGAAGUAUUCUUUCUGUACCUGUGUAAUGAGGUGGAGAAGACACGAGUGAAGGUGUCUCUUUUUCCUCUUUAGUACGGUUCAGUAUGUUUAAUGCUCAGUAACAGUGUUGUAAUUGAGUUAACUAGUAAAUGGUUCUUUUAAAAAAUUAUUUUUAAGUGUAUGUUGAUGGAUCAUACUUCACUUGGGAAGUUAAGUGUGCAAGGUCUGAGGAAAGAGUAUUUCUAAGUCCCAGUUUAAGCAAAUAAAAACAGCUGUGAGCUCAGUAUCCACCCUUUCAAUUUUUUAGCAUUCUGGAAUACCUUUAUUGAGGUAAGGUCUUGCCGUGUACCACAGCUGGCCUAGAGCUCUCUGUGGACUAGGCUGGCUUCAAACUUGUGGCAGUCCUUGUGCCUCUGCCUCUUGAAGGUUAGAAAUUCAGGUACUUAGCACUCGAUUCCUUUACCUUCACUGGAACAUUUCUAAAAUACUAUCGAACACUCCAGAAGUGAGUGGCCUCCUGUAAGUCACCAUAGUUUGCAUCUAAAAGCCUACAGUUUAGAAUAGAACUACCGGGGAUUUUUUUUUUUUUUUUUUUUUGGUAUCAGGUUUAUGGGUUUUUUUUUUUUUUUUUCAUGUCUAUGUAGAUGUCUGGAUUCAAAUCUUUAAAAGGUUAUCGACCACUCAAAAUUACAGUGAGAUACAUGGGACUUAUAGUUUUGGGUAUUUUGAAAGGGUCUUGUUUUGUUAGCCCAGGCUGGCCUGGAAUUAGUGAUUCUCCUGAUUGCUGGGAUUAUAGGUGUGUAUCACCCCCACCCAGCAAGGAUUUGUUUACUGAAGUCCCACAGCUGCUUUAUAGUCAUUGGGGAAGCAGCUAGAGAUGCGCAGUGAAAGUGAGCCCUGUCAUACCACUGUGCCUUGUUGCAAGGUUUUUCUCAGUUCUCAUUCUGAAGAUUGUUUCCAGCUGCAAGUUCGAGUCAAGCCAGCUGCCCAGCCUUAACUCUGUUCAGUGCCCUGUUACUAACAUUUUUAACAGAUUGGUUUCUACAUGUUUAAACAGUCCAGCAGUUGAAUUUUACCUCUUGAUAGUUCCAUUUGUCCCUGGUGCUGCUUUUAAAGGUAUAGGGCCCUGUGAAGUGUCCAGUGGAGUAGGUACGCAGUUGGCCUGGUUAUGGAAAAGCUGCUUUGGAAUAGAUGUUUACUUGGGUUUCUGUAUAGAACUGGGCAGCAAUCCGGGAAAGCUCUGUAAAGCCCGUAAGAAAGGAUUUGAAGAGGGCUGCUCUUAAGUCUUUGAACAUGAAGCACAUGUGUGCAUGCUGUCAAAAGGCUGGAGUUACUGUCACACCAGUGCUUUCUGACCUCCAGGAGACACUUUCAAAAGGCAACAGAGGAGCACCAAGGGAAGUGAAUUUGCUUGGCUGGCUUUGUCUGCUUUCUCAUUUCCUAACCAUUUAAACCUGAACGAAAUACCCUUCCCCGGUAUCUGAUCCAGCAAACUCUUGGUUGGGAAGCCCUGUGUUGAAUUUUGAGAAUGUACCCAACUUUUUGUACAGUGCUUUACACCUGCUAAAAUUUAACUUGUUUGAUGCAGAACAAUACCUUGAAAGGUCAGUCAUUAAAUUUGGUUUGAUUAUUAAUAGCUAUCUUUUAGGAAGAAGCUUUUUCCCUAUGUACGAUGUCAUACUGCAGACUUAAAAUAUAGACUAUCAAUAAAAUGCAUGAAGUAAU